rnacentral:rRNA from 1 species
UACGGGGGGGGCAAGCGUUGUUCGGAAUUACUGGGCGUAAAGGCUCGUAGGCGGCCAACUAAGUCAGACGUGAAAUCCCUCGGCUUAACCGGGGAACUGCAUCUGAUACUGGAUGGCUUGAGUUCGGGAGAGGGAUGCGGAAUUCCAGGUGUAGCGGUGAAAUGCGUAGAUAUCUGGAGGAACACCGGUGGCGAAGGCGGCAUCCUGGACCGGCACUGACGCUGAGGAGCGAAAGCCAGGGGAGCAAAGCGGG